GAUACUUGAGAACAGAGAGGAUCCAAUGAGCUUGGUGAAGGAGAUCGAUAUCAAGGGAGUGAAAAAGAUGAUUGAAGAUGGCAAAGUUGGUGGUGGGAUGAUACCCAAAGUGAAUUGCUGUAUUAGAUCACUUGCUCAAGGUGUCAGGACUGCUAGUAUUAUUGAUGGAAGAGUUGAACACUCCUUGCUUCUUGAGAUUUUGACUGAUGCUGGUGCCGGUACCAUGAUCACUGGCUAGCUAAUCAACCUAAUUCUAAUCCUCCUCUUAAUUCCUAAAUUUUUUUUUUUUCUUUUACUUUUUCCUAUUGCUAUUUGAAAAAUAAAACAAAAUUGAUGGACUUGUUAGAUGCUAUUGUUUAUGUCAC
rnacentral:lncRNA from 1 species